CUUUUCUCUCUUUUCCUUUCCCCGUGCCCUUACUUCGCCCGAUUCCUCUCCUUCUCCCCUCUCCCGAGCUCGCCACCGCCGCCGCUACCGAGCCUCUUCAUCUUCCCCAAUCGACGCGCCGCCAACCUGACGCCACGCGACUCCUCUUCUUCAUCCCCGCGUUCAUAACCACCAGCCAAAGGAAAGCCCCUAAGCCCUAGCAUCACCUUCCCCUCCUCUGCCCCAUCACUUCCUCGCUGCGGAGAUCCCAUCGCGCUAGCGCCGAUUUGCCCACCUCCUCAUCUCAGCCGAUCGUCGAAGCUUGAACCACUGCAGAGCUCUCCGAGAUUUGCCCUAAUUCGGCUGUGCCUUAGUUUGAAGCCGAUCGCCACGACCUGACACUGCCAGCCAGCCACCACUGUUCUCCUCCUCCAUCCACAUCUCGUUCCUUUCUAGCCACCUCACGCAGGGGAGUCGUCGGCCAAGGGUGGGGAGCCAUCGACCUGUUGUCGUUGUCUCUGUACGUCGCGGCCCCGACCUCAGACACCUUCGGCUAACCCUCUACCACUAGGGUUAGUGUCGCAUCUCUUCCUCUGCUCAGAAGUGAAGUUCUUGGAUGGAACCCUAAUACCAACUAAGCAACACAGUUUCGGUCAAGAUCGGUACAGGCGUGAGCGAUCGGAACACAAAUCAAAGAUCAAUGGAAGGUGUUGUAGGGUGUUUGAUUUAGAGGGCAGCACCUUUUACCUCGCUUCGGUCAGGUUUAUUGGUAGCAAGUUGUCUCCGGCUGUGUAUCACCAGCUAAGAUUUCAGAUUUGGGACUCUGAUUCGAGACGAGAGUGUCGACGUGACAUCUAUCUGGAUACAAUCUCCAUUUUUGAGGUUGAAGAUGUCAGGAGGUUCCAGUUGCUAGUCCCCACCCUGAGUCGUGACGAUUUUCUAUCUUGAACUUUUGGUUUCCUUGUUAUAUUUUUAUAUAUUUGUGAUGUAUAACUGUACUCGUGGAUGUUUAUCGGGUUUUGGUCUACUGCCUUUGUUUUCCACUACGUUGGAUUUUUGUUGUGAGUUUAAGUUUUUCGUUGUAUUAGUGGAGUAGGUUUUAUUUAGAUAAACUGCGUGGUUGUGUCAGCCA